GCGCCUUCAUUUUUUGGCGGCCGGGGACGGUAGAUGACUGCGGUGUUCCAGCCGUUUUCAUCAUGGGUGCGCGGGAAUGAUGCCGGAUUUUUUGGGGUUUAAUUCUGCGAGUGACCCGAUGAUGCCGGGGUUUUUUAAUCUUCCGAUGCAUCCACCGAUGCAACCACCGGCGUUUGACACUAACUUGAUGAUCGGGCAGCAGCCGAGGCUUGCUGUGACUUCUCACCAGCAGAUGAAUAUUACUGUGUUUGCUAGUAGUACUGCUGCUGCUGCAGGUUCUAAUGUGAGCUCAGCUGGUGCUGGCAAUAAUGGUGAAGGGUAUUGGAAGCAGUUCAACAAUGAAGGAGAAGAUGACAGCUCUCAGCCUCCGACGCCAUAAUUUAUCUAUUUAGAUAAGAGGCAAAAGUUUCAGGAAAAAAGGAGUGAGCAAGCAACAGCAGGAGAUCGAAGAGAAGAACAAGAAGAGAAUUUUUCAUCGUUAGCUUUUUCUUCUCUUUUAUUUUCCUUUCCUUUUCUUUUUUAAUUAAUUAGUUUCUUUCUUCUUCUUCUUCUUCUUAUUCCUUUUUUUUUCGCCCUUGUGGUUCGACUACCUAGCUAGUGUGGUUAGUUGUUCUGUAGAGUGAGAGAGAGAGAGAAGAGAAAUGUCUUUUGUUUAAACGCAUGUGCCAUCUGAGCACAAGAGAUGAAAGCCUUUUCUCAUUCUA